rnacentral:miRNA from 1 species
AAUACAAAACAACAAAAAAA